rnacentral:rRNA from 1 species
AGAGAGAGACAUGCGCGCAUAUCAAUAAGCGGAGGAAAAGAAACUAACAAGGAUUCCCUUAGUAACGGCGAGUGAAGCGGGAAGAGCUCAAAUUUGAAAUCUUCAAGGUUUUACCUUGACGAAUUGUAGUUUAAAGAAGUGUUUUCUGUUGGAGUUUUGGUAAAAGUUCUUUGGAAUAGGACAUCAUAGAGGGUGAGAAUCCCGUAUUUGACCUUUACUUUCAACCUCUCUGUGAUACACUUUCAAAGAGUCGGAUUGUUUGGGAAUGCAGUCCAAAAUGGGUGGUAAAUUUCAUCUAAAGCUAAAUAUUGGCGAGAGACCGAUAGCGAACAAGUACCGUGAGAGAAAGAUGAAAAGAACUUUGAAAAGAGAGUUAAACAGUACGUGAAAUUGUCAAAAGGGAAGCGUUUGACACCAGUGUUGUUUUCUCGAAAAUCAAUUAAAAAGAGUUAGAUUUUGUUGUGUAUUGACCUUAACAGCUUGCAUUUCAAUUUUCUUGCUUUUUUUAAUGCACUUUUCGUUUAACAAGUCAACAUCAGUUUCUUUUGUUGUAAAAAGGUCAUUGGAAGGUGGCUUUCUUUUCGGAGAAAGUGUUUAUAGCCUUUGGCCUCUGCAAUCGGAGAGAUUGAGGUCUGCAGCGUAGAUCCUUCGGGGUUAGAUACAUUUGUGCUAAGUUAUAGCCUUUCAUAGACAACUUGUUGACUAUGAUCAGUCAUGUAGCUUACUCGCUUAUGCUAUUUUACCUACGCUUAGGAUGUUGAUGUGAUACUGCGAGCA